UAUAAGACUGGGAUAACUUCGGGAAACCGGAGCUAAUGCCGGAUAACAUUUGGAACCGCAUGGUUCUAAAGUAAAAGAUGGUUUUGCUAUCACUUAUAGAUGGACCCGCGCCGUAUUAGCUAGUUGGUAAGGUAACGGCUUACCAAGGCAACGAUACGUAGCCGACCUGAGAGGGUGAUCGGCCACACUGGAACUGAGACACGGUCCAGACUCCUACGGGAGGCAGCAGUAGGGAAUCUUCCGCAAUGGACGAAAGUCUGACGGAGCAACGCCGCGUGAGUGAUGAAGGUUUUCGGAUCGUAAAACUCUGUUAUUAGGGAAGAACAAAUGUGUAAGUAACUGUGCACAUCUUGACGGUACCUAAUCAGAAAGCCACGGCUAACUACGUGCCAGCAGCCGCGGUAAUACGUAGGUGGCAAGCGUUAUCCGGAAUUAUUGGGCGUAAAGCGCGCGUAGGCGGUUUCUUAAGUCUGAUGUGAAAGCCCACGGCUCAACCGUGGAGGGUCAUUGGAAACUGGGAAACUUGAGUACAGAAGAGGAAAGUGGAAUUCCAUGUGUAGCGGUGAAAUGCGCAGAGAUAUGGAGGAACACCAGUGGCGAAGGCGACUUUCUGGUCUGUAACUGACGCUGAUGUGCGAAAGCGUGGGGAUCAAACAGGAUUAGAUACCCUGGUAGUCCACGCCGUAAACGAUGAGUGCUAAGUGUUAGGGGGUUUCCGCCCCUUAGUGCUGCAGCUAACGCAUUAAGCACUCCGCCUGGGGAGUACGACCGCAAGGUUGAAACUCAAAG
rnacentral:rRNA from 1 species